rnacentral:rRNA from 1 species
CGGAGGGUGCAAGCGUUAUCCGGAUUCACUGGGUUUAAAGGGUGCGUAGGUGGGUUGGUAAGUCAGUGGUGAAAUCUCCGUGCUUAACAUGGAAACUGCCAUUGAUACUACUAGUCUUGAAUUUUCUGGAGGUAAGCGGAAUAUGUCAUGUAGCGGUGAAAUGCUUAGAUAUGACAUUGAACACCAAUUGCGAAGGCAGCUUGCUACAGGGAUAUUGACACUGAGGCUUACGAAAGCGUGGGGAUCAAACAGGAUUAGAUACCCUGGUAGUCCACGCCCUAAACGAUGGAUACUCGACAUUUGCGAUACACAGUAAGUGUCUGAGCGAAAGCAUUAAGUAUCCACCUGGGAAUCGACGCAAGUUG